rnacentral:lncRNA from 1 species
UAUUCCAUUAGGCUGUAAAAGUGAACUCAGAGAGUAUUUUUUUCUUCAUCAUGUUGCUCUCUCUUUUGCCCUCUCUUCUCUUUUUCUAACAAUAUUAAGAGAAAUAGCCACUCAAAAAUGGCCAGAUGUUGCAAAAGUUUGGACAAGUAGUUGACUAAAGCCAAAUGAAACUUGGACUACUUCCAUAAGGGAAGUUGUAAAGGUAAGUAGUAUUAUGCAUUUUAAUUUCAGUUUAUCUUAAUAUAUUAUAGUUAUUUCUUAUCCCUUCAGUCAUUUUGUAAUAGUAUUUAUUUAUGAGAUA